CCAGCAGCCGCGGUAAUACGUAGGGGGCAAGCGUUAUCCGGAUUUACUGGGUGUAAAGGGAGCGUAGACGGCACGGCAAGCCAGAUGUGAAAGUCCAAGGCUCAACCUUGGAACGCCACUUGAUACUGCUGUGACUAGAGUCCGGUAGAGGAGUGUGGAAUUCCUGGUGUAGCGGUGAAAUGCGCAGAUAUCAGGAGGAACACCGACGGCGAAGUCUGCACUCUGGGCCGGUACUGACGCUGAGGAGCAAAAGCAUGGGGAGCGAACCGCACUCCAUACCCUGGUAGUCCAUGCCGUAAACGUUGGGCACUAGGUGUGGGGCCUUAUCAACGGGUUCCGUGCCGUAGCUAACGCAUUAAGUGCCCCGCCUGGGGAGUACGGCCGCAAGGCUAAAACUCAAAGGAAUUGACGGGGCCCGCACAAGCGGCGGAGCAUGUUGCUUAAUUCGAGGCAACGCGAAGAACCCUUACCUGGGUUUGACAUGUAGGGAAAAGCCAUAGAGAUAUGGUGUCCUUCGGGGCCCUACACAGGUGGUGCAUGGCUGUCGUCAGCUCGUGUCGGGAGAUGUUGGGUUAAGUCCCGCAACGAGCGCAACCCUUGUCCUUAGUUGCCAGCACAUUAUGGUGGGAACUCUAAGGAGACUGCCGGUGACAAACCGGAGGAAGGUGGGGAUGACGUCAAGUCAUCAUGGCCCUUAUGGCCUGGGCUACACACGUGCUACAAUGGUGAAUACAAAGGGUUGCCAACCCGCGAGGGGGAGCUAAUCUCAAAAAAUUCAUCUCAGUCCGGAUUGGAGUCUGCAACUCGACUCCAUGAAGUCGGAAUCGCUAGUAAUCGUGAAUCAGCAAUGUCGCGGUGAAUACGUUCCCGGGCCUUGUACACACCGCCCGUCACACCAUGGGAGUUGGCUGCACCAGAAGUAGUUAGUCUAACCUUCGGGAGGACGAUUACCACGGUGUGGUUAAUGACAGGGGUG
rnacentral:rRNA from 1 species